rnacentral:tRNA from 4 species
GCAGUCAUAGCUCAGUUGGUAGAGCGCCUGCCCUCCAAGCAGGAUGCCGCGGGUUCAAGCCCCGUUGACUGCUCCA